rnacentral:tRNA from 1 species
UCGUAGCUCAGCUGGAUAGAGCGUCUGGCUACGAACCAGAAGGUCGGGGGUUCGAAUCCCUCCGGG